rnacentral:rRNA from 1 species
GACGAACGCUGGCGGCGUGCUUAACACAUGCAAGUCGAACGGAAAGGCCCUGCUUUUGUGGGGUGCUCGAGUGGCGAACGGGUGUGUAACACGUGAGUAACCUGCCCUUGACUUUGGGAUAAAGUCAGGAAACUGGGGCUACUACAGGAUAGGAGCUCCUGCUGCAUGGUGGGGGUUGGAAAGUUUCGGCGGUUGGGGAUGGACACGCGGCUUAUCAGCUUGUUGGUGGGGUAGUGGCUUACCAAGGCUUCGACGGAUAGCCGGCCUGAGAGGGUGACCGGCCACAAUGGGACUGAGAGAGGGACCAGAGGGCUACGGGAGGCAGCAGGGGGGAAUAUGGCACAAUGGGCGGAAGCGUGAGGCAGCGACGCCGCGUGCGGGAUGACGGCCUUCGAGGUGUAAACCGCUUUCGCCUGUGACGAAGCGUGAGUGACGGUAAUGGGUAAAGAAGCACCGGCUAACUACGUG